rnacentral:siRNA from 1 species
AAAUGAGUUAUGGGUUGGGUCAA